GAAAUAUAAGAAAAAAUAAAAAUAUGUAUUGAGUACUUUUAUGAGCUAAUAAAAGUUAUUGUUUUUUUAUCUCAAGUUGUAGCGUAUUGGUCAAGUGUUCACCUCUCUUCGGAAUAACCUUAGUUCAGAUCAUAGUUGUUCAACAUUUUAUCAAACAAAUAGAAAACAUUAUUGUUUUAACAAAAAAUAAAUUAUCAAAAAUUAAAUAUGAAGAAAAACCG
rnacentral:lncRNA from 1 species